rnacentral:rRNA from 1 species
CCAGACUCCUACGGGAGGCAGCAGUGGGGAAUAUUGGACAAUGGACCAAGAGUCUGAUCCAGCAAUUCUGUGUGCACGAUGAAGUUUUUCGGAAUGUAAAGUGCUUUCAGUUGGGAAGAAAAAAAUGACGGUACCAACAGAAGAAGUGACGGCUAAAUACGUGCCAGCAGCCGCGGUAAUACGUAUGUCACAAGCGUUAUCCGGAUUUAUUGGGCGUAAAGCGCGUCUAGGUGGUUAUAUAAGUCUGAUGUGAAAAUGCAGGGCUCAACUCUGUAUUGCGUUGGAAACUGUGUAACUAGAGUACUGGAGAGGUAAGCGGAACUACAAGUGUAGAGGUGAAAUUCGUAGAUAUUUGUAGGAAUGCCGAUGGGGAAGCCAGCUUACUGGACAGAUACUGACGCUGAAGCGCGAAAGCGUGGGUAGCAAACAGGAUUAGAUACCCUGGUAGUCCACGCCGUAAACGAUGAUUACUAGGUGUUGGGGGUCGAACCUCAGCGCCCAAGCAAACGCGAUAAGUAAUCCGCCUGGGGAGUACGUACGCAAGUAUGAACUCAAAGGAAUUGACGGGGGCCCGCACAAG